rnacentral:rRNA from 1 species
UGGCUCAGGACGAACGCUGGCGGCGUGCCUAAUACAUGCAAGUCGAACGGUCUUUCUAUGGAAGCUUGCUUCCACUGAGAAGAUAGUGGUGAACGGGUGAGUAACACGUGGGUAACCUGCCCAUAAGAGGGGGAUAACAUCCGGAAACGGGUGCUAAUACCGCAUAGUUUUCUUGAUCGCAUGAUCGGGAAAGGAAAGACGGCCUUUGUGCUGUCGCUUAUGGAUGGACCCGCGGCGUAUUAGUUAGUUGGUGAGGUAACGGCUCACCAAGACGAUGAUACGUAGCCGACCUGAGAGGGUGAUCGGCCACAUUGGGACUGAGACACGGCCCAAACUCCUACGGGAGGCAGCAGUAGGGAAUCUUCCGCAAUGGACGAAAGUCUGACGGAGCAACGCCGCGUGAGUGAAAGAAGGUUUUCGGAUCGUAAAACUCUGUUGUCAGAGAAGAACAAGUUGGAGAGUAACUGCUCCAGCCUUGACGGUAUCUGACCAGAAAGCCACGGCUAACUACGUGCCAGCCGCGGC